GGAAUAGACCUCUACCGUUUUCCUUUGAUCGAUAUCAGGUACCAAAAUUCAUAAAUCCGACUAUCCGAGACACGGACAUGAUACUACAGUCAAAGAUAUCCAAUGAGCUUCUUCAUUUUAUUUUAUUUUAUCAAUAUCAAUUAUCAAUGCAUCGGACGAUUUCGGAUCACAAAAUCUAUCUACACGCAUACAACUCUCCAUUUUCUGUUUUAUGUCAAAGAUGACCCCCUCUUUUUUUUAAUUUUUUUUACUAUUAAUAAUUAUCGGACGGUUUCGGAUCACAAAUCCGCAUAGAACCCCCCGUUUUCUGUUUUACUCGGAGUUGUUUCUCUCCGUUUCUUCUGGUAAUGCAAAAUCAUAGAUCCUCAUAUUCGGGUUAGCAGUUUUAAAAAGUACUGUUAAAAAAAAGGAGAGGUCAAGUCUUUCCUUUCCUUUCCUUUCGAAGAUCCUGCUUUAUUCCAAUCUCCGAGUGCGAGGAAUAAUCACACACUCAUCAGACGUCUCAGCAUCAGUUCUUCCUCGUACAGACAGAAUAACAUAACACACAAAGGGCAAAGAGCUUCUUGUGGCUAAAAACUGCCCAAAGAACGUCCAAGUAUGAGUCUGGCAUGUCUUGUAUGCCAAAGUGUAGAAAGUCCAUCCCACUCUUUCAGGAGUUACUCUGUUUCAAGCUCAGAAAAUGAAGGAAGAUGUGCAGUGCUCGCAAACUGCUUGACCAGGAUAUCUCUUGCACACCCAGCAGCCAACACUUCCCUUGCUUCGUCGUCUAAGGUUACCCCACAACCAAGUAUUCCGAAUAAUGGAGUUGUGGGGCCCCCACGGCUAGUCCGGAGCCGUGCUGUUAGAAGAGAUAUAGUGCAGGACUGGAAUUUUGAUGAAGUCGCGGUGGAGCGGUAGUCUUGUAGAUUCAGGGUAGGAGAAGAGCUGGGGCUCAGCUCUUCUCUCUCACUCUUGCUGUCAGAAAGAAAGCUUAUGUUUUGGGGCUGUAGUUGGACUCUGUCCUAUAAUGUGAGGUUGAGCAUCUGUGAAACUUGUGGAGAGAUGAACUCUGUCUAUAUGUCUUUAAUUUGUGUACUCUUUGCCCUUGGAAUUCAUGUUGUGCUUGCCCCACUUGCAGUUAUAAUUUUGUCCAUUGAAUUAUGGUUAUGGGAACCUGAAUCUAGGUGGUCUACAGUGCUGCUAAUUUUCACCA